rnacentral:rRNA from 1 species
CCUACGGGGGGCUGCAGUGGGGAAUAUUGGACAAUGGGGGGAACCCUGAUCCAGCCAUGCCGCGUGUGUGAAGAAGGCCCUCGGGUUGUAAAGCACUUUCAGUGAGGAAGAACGCCUGGUGGUUAAUACCCAUCAGGAAAGACAUCACUCUCAGAAGAAGCACCGGCUAACUCCGUGCCAGCAGCCGCGGUAAUACGGAGGGUGCGAGCGUUAAUCGGAAUUACUGGGCGUAAAGCGCGCGUAGGUGGCUUGAUAAGCCGGUUGUGAAAGCCCCGGGCUCAACCUGGGAACGGCAUCCGGAACUGUCAAGCUAGAGUGCAGGAGAGGAAGGUAGAAUUCCCGGUGUAGCGGUGAAAUGCGUAGAGAUCGGGAGGAAUACCAGUGGCGAAGGCGGCCUUCUGGACUGACACUGACACUGAGGUGCGAAAGCGUGGGUAGCAAACAGGAUUAGAUACCCGGGUAGUC